rnacentral:tRNA from 1 species
GGACAUAUGGCUCAGACGGUAAAGCGUCUGCCUGCAAUGCAGGAGACCCAGGUUCGAUUCCUGGGUCCG